rnacentral:rRNA from 1 species
AGUCGACGGAAGUCGUUAUGAUGAUUUCAACACUGACAGAGAACUUGUUCAAAGAAAGUAGAGAUUGACUUAUAACAAUGGCUUUAGUGGCGGACUGGUGAGUAACACGUGAGCAACCUGCCUAUCAGAGGGGAAUAACAGUGAGAAAUCAUUGCUAAUACCGCAUAUGCCAUAAAUAUCACAUGAUGAAAGUGGGAAAGGAGUAAUCCGCUGAUAGAUGGGCUCGCGUCUGAUUAGAUAGUUGGUGGGGUAACGGCCUACCAAGUCGACGAUCAGUAGCCGGACUGAGAGGUUGAACGGCCACAUUGGGACUGAGAUACGGCCCAGACUCCUACGGGAGGCAGCAGUCGGGAAUAUUGCGCAAUGGAGGAAACUCUGACGCAGUGACGCCGCGUAUAGGAAGAAGGUUUUCUGAUUGUAAACUAUUGUCGUUAGGGAAGAUACAAGACAGUACCUAAGGAGGAAGCUCCGGCUAACUACGUGCCAGCAGCCGCGGUAAUACGUAGGGAGCAAGCGUUAUCCGGAUUUAUUG